AGCAGUGUAGCUCAGUGGUACGAGCAUAGGAUUCAUACUCCUAGGGCCGUGGGUUCGAUCCCCACCGCUGCUA
rnacentral:tRNA from 1 species